CACUAAGAAGCUAAAUAGGGUCUAUAGCGUCAGCCUUUUAAGCUGAAGAUUGGUGCUUCCCAACCACCCUUAGUGA
rnacentral:tRNA from 1 species